UAGGUAGUGGUCUAAUGGCAAGACACUGAAGUUUGGGUUCAGCUUAUGCUUGUUCGAUUCAAGCCUACCUAA
rnacentral:tRNA from 1 species